UGAGACUCUGUGGGUGCCAUCACUGGGAGCAGCAUGUCAUCUAUUCCAACUGAUGCCAUGUGCUCACAGAAGCCGGUAUUUUACAAGGCACUGCAGCAUAUUUAUACUUCCCUUCUACUUCCCUUCUUGCUGACACUCCUGUCCCUCCCUCCCACCUGACACAUGGACCACGUGGGAAAGGCAGUGCCAAGGAACCAUCUGACAAACGGAUUUCACCCAGACCAAAGUGACCCUGACAGAUGUGAGGCUGCAUCCCAGGCUAGUCAGCAUGGCCUGCUAACUGAGAGGGAAGAGAAUUCUCCACAUUCUGUUCCUACGACGACCUUGGAUAACUUGGAUCUGUUCUUGUGGGAUUUGGAGCUCUGCUCCCGGAUGGAUGUGAGAUGAGAGAGCAAUACAAAAACCCACCAGCCCAUAGGAGAAGGCUGGACAGUGCAGACCGAGGUUUAAACCAAACCCCAAGUCUUCAGUUCACCUCUGGCAUACUGGGACACUCAAGUCAUUAACAGAAUUCAUCUGGUAGGAGAAAUUGGGAAGGACCAGAAGUAUUUCAGUCCUGCAGCAAAUGGUUUACAAACAGAUGCCUCAAAAGAAAGUCAGGUAAGGACUCCCUCAAAUUUUCAGGGCUCUAGAACAAACAACUUGAAAAAGGAUACGAUAAAACCAAGAAAGACUUGGGAUACAUUGUCAGUGCAUUCACAGUCUCAGAGAC